rnacentral:lncRNA from 1 species
CUGGCAGCCUGGCUAUUUUUGUCGAGUUGCACAGUUUUCCUGAGUUUCUCCCAUGUAUCCAUAUCAUGAAGCUUUGUUUGAUUUUCUCCUGUUAUUCUGUCUCAUGUCAAUUUAAUUCACAGAUGAGCCAGAAGGACCCAGAGUGUAGAGGAUUUGUCUUCUUCCCCUACAGUUUGGUGACUUCGAUGGGCUAGAACUUCACUGGCUGGCCACAGCUCACUCUGAGACCACUGCAGCCAAGAGAUCCUGCACCCCUGACAAGAGCCAGCAGGAAGCCUGUCUUUGGGAGCCCACCUCCAUCACUGCCUUCUAAAGUGAAUUUAACUGGACUGAUCUAUUAUCAGGACUAAGAAAAUGUGUUCGAUGAGAUGGAACAAUCUACCACUCAGCUUCGGGACUAUGCAAUUUCUUAAAGUUUCAAAGGCAGGACUGUGUGGGAUCAGAAUUGGCCACCCCAAAAUCUGUCUCUUGGCCUUGCCUUGAUUACUUUUAAGAACAAAAGACUCUGAAAGAAACUUUGACCUUCCCCCUAACUGGGUAAAAGAAAUUUAAGAUAAAAGACCUGUCCCCAGGACAGGGUAUCACCAUAGAUAACUCUGGGCAUCAGUAGUCUGGGAGGGUCCUUGCUAAGCCCACUCUUAUCAAAUUUCUGUUUACCAAACAUUUGCUUUUCCAUUUUCAUGUGAAUUGCUUUCCUUCCCUUUGAAGUCCCAAACCACCACCCCCAACACCCUGUUUUGUCUUUAGCUAAAGAUGAUAUUUAAGCUGGAAGCUUGGCUAUUUCAUCGAGUUGCUCAGUUUUCCUGAGUCUCUCCCACGUGUACAUGUUAUAAAGCUUUGUUUGAUUUUCCCCUGUUAUUCUGUCUCAUGUGAAUGUAAUUCACAGACGAGCCAGAAGGACCUAGCGGGUAGAGGAUUUGUGUUCCUUCAUGACACUAGCAACGUGGGAGGAGACAUCGACACUGCUUAUUCCCAUUUGGGGCACCACACAGAGAGCCAGUAAAUGGCACAAACACACCCAAAGAUUCUCACAAUCAGAACGUGAAGACAUUUCAUAGAAUGGAGGCAGGACCAGGUGAGGGAGGUACACGGAGCCAUCACCUGCGGAACUUGAGUGCCCUCAACCCUGAAUUGUGACUGGAACCCCUAUGUCCAGCCCCAACACAUGGGCGAGACCUAAACAAGAGGGCAUUUGGCCUGGGACAGGGGUGACACAUCCUAAAACUGAUCUGCAAUCUGUGGACACUAUUGUGGGGAAGAGGGGGAGGUGGGGUUGUGGAGGUUCAGUGGAAGACGCAUGACCAGGUGCUGAGGACUGCAAGGGUCAGAGAGUCAACUCCAUCAACAGGGUGACAAUAUUUUCCUAUGCUAACAAAAUACAUCAGCAGAUAGAGACAAAGCUCAUUUGAAAUAGUUGGAAAAUAUUCCACAAUAUGGACUCACACAUUUUUUUUUUAAGCUCUUCCCCUUUUCCUAGGCAUUCAGGUUGGUUUUCUAUUUUUCCACUACAAACAAUGCUUCAAGGAAGACCUUUCAAUGCAAUUUCCCUGGAUACGGGUGCUUCUAUUUUUUAGAUUAGAUUUCUAAAAGUGACUUUAUGGUAAAGUGACGUUUUAAAUUUAAUCUAUGUUUUAAUAUUAUCCAAAAAGUUUAAAGCAAUUUUUAGUUCCUCUGCCAAUUUUGUCCUAUAGAUAAACCCCUCUAGAAAUUGUUCCUUGCAUAAUAUUUCCCAGGCAAUAACUUGCUACUUUUGAAGACAUUGCAGUUGUUGGAGCACAGGGCUGGCUACCCGAAAAUACCCCACAAUAGCAUACUGAUUGCUUUGGAUUAGAGUUCCUUGAGAAGCAAAAAGGGCAUUCUGAACAUCCCACCUCUAUUCCCCCUGAAAACAGGAAAUAAUCUCCCACUUAAAAUGCUCCCCUGCAUUCUUAUCACUAGAGCACCCUUAUCGAUUCAGAGCUGAGAAGUCUGCAUAAACGAACUUUGCUAAUUUACGACUUUGAGCCUAAACUCUGCAUAAAUCCCUCAGUAAUUAUGCACCUCAAAUCUAAGUUUUCGCCCUGUCAUUCCUCAUGAAUUUCCUAUUUCUUUGUGUAAACUACAUAUUUACUGCCUGCUUUGUGCACUCUCUGAACAUUGUUUCUCUCUGAUCUGCAAUGUGUAGGUAUUAAACUGAGUUUUUCUCUUGUAAAUCUGCUCUUGUGUCAAUUUUACUAUUGG